CUUUGAUUUCCCUCACCGGCCCUUCAUGGAAAACAGCGGGGCCGGCGCUCGGAUAGUGCCGGCCCUGCAUAGACCGGCAGGGGAGAUCCUGGGAGCUCCCCUGCCGGCCUCGGCCCAUGGCCACCGCGGCCCACCGGGCAUUUGCCCGGUGUGCCCGAUGGCCAGUCCGGGCCUGGUGUCCCUUUAAUGAAUACUAAACGAAUAUUGUUGAACAUCUAGAGCGUGUGGAUCAUGUAUACCUGUCUUCAGCCUUUGUAUAACUUCUGCAUAUACCAUGAUGCACCCCUGGUGUCUCAUCCAUCAAGUGACCUUGUUCUUUUUUUUUUUAAUUUUUUUUUUUUUUCACCACUGCCUUUCUACUUUGUUUUUUUUCCUCUCUUUCGUCCUUGUUUCUUCUGUGAAAAACAGUUUAAAAAAAAGUUUAUUAAUCAAAAGGUUAUUACUACCCUAUGUAUCUGCGGUUUACAAGUACUGACUUGGACUGUAUUAGCUACACAGUUAUUUAAC